rnacentral:rRNA from 1 species
UACGUAGGGCGCAAGCGUUGUCCGGAAUUACUGGGCGUAAAGGGCUCGUAGGCGGCCAACUAAGUCAGACGUGAAAUCCCUCGGCUUAACCGGGGAACUGCGUCUGAUACUGGAUGGCUUGAGUUUGGGAGAGGGAUGCGGAAUUCCAGGUGUAGCGGUGAAAUGCGUAGAUAUCUGGAGGAACACCGGUGGCGAAGGCGGCAUCCUGGACCAACAUUGACGCUGAGGAGCGAAAGCUAGGGGAGCAAACGGG